GAUGAACGCUGGCGGCGUGCCUAAUACAUGCAAGUCGAGCGAAGCGGGGACGGGUGAGUAACACGUGGAUAACCUCCUAUAAGACUGGGACAACUUCGGGAAACCGGAGCUACACGGGAAACUAAUAGAUGGAACCGAGCUGAAUUAGCUAGGUGGUAAGGUAACGGCUUACAAAGGCAACGAUGCAUAGCCGGCCUGAGAGGGUGAUCGGCCACACUGGAACUGAUGCACGGUCCAGCCUCCUACGGGAGGCAGCAGUGGGGAAUCUGCCGCAAUGGGCGAAAGCCUGUCGGAGCAACGCCGCGUGAGUGAUGAAGGUCUUCGGAUCGUAAAACUCUGUUAUUAGGGUUGCGGUACCUAAUCAGUAAGCCACGGCUAACUACGUGCCAGCAGCCGCGGUAAUUC
rnacentral:rRNA from 1 species